CCCCCAAAAUUGAAACCAAACCACCUAGUUGCCGGCCGCCACCACCAGCAACACCGCCUCAACAUCGUGGAUGUUACCAACUCCCAGCUUAUAUGAAAGAUAAUCUCCAACACAUUACAUGAAAGGCACCCCCAUCGAAAGCUCAGCAAGGAGGGGAAAAAACAUAUCUGUAACAUGCAACAGAUGUGGAGAGGAUGAUGCAUGUUCUACUGGUGGGACAGUGUGCACCGAGUAGCAGAGGACGUUAACUGGCGGCGGCGGCGGUGGUGGUGAAUUUCGAAAAAUGUAAUAAAUAAUGUCCAUUUGGAAUAAGUUUCGAAACGUUUGUGUUUGUUUAGUACUCUCUAAAUACCAAUAGAUGAUUAGGACAUUACAUUGAUUCAUUAUGUAGUCGUUUUCAAUAAUGUUACCUCAUCUAUAGCAUAUGUUCAAGCAGUUUAAAACAAAAAUUCAAAUAAUCAUCUGUCAAAAACAAAUUCUGGAUGUUUUUUAUGUUAUCAACUCCUUGAUAUAUAAACUACUUCUUCUAGAAUAACUCUUGAUAACUAUUUUGAGAAUUCAUGACUGUUAUAGCAUUUAUCAUGGUUUCACGAAGUCAGGGCACUAACUUCCAGAAGGCCUAACAAAGCAACGAUGCCCAAGAUGCAGCAAGGGAUUUGUGAAAUGGAUGGAGCAAUGUUACGACAAAGAAAAACACGAGCAAUUUGAGGGUGAGUCAAGUGGUAUAUCAAGAUGUAUUUGUUCGGAUAAAGAUCCAAUGCCAGAUUUAUCAUGUAUGUUGAGCUAAAAUAACGGAACAACAGUAUGCGGAGAUCUCUCUCAAUAUUACUAUCCCCAAUGGAAAAGGAUAUGUAGAAGAGAAUGAAAAGCUAAAGGGCAGAGCUUCAUGCAAUUGUAUUGCUUAUCUUAGUACUAAAAACGAUCUUAUUGUAAUCGAUGUGGUCUACGGAUGUUAUUUUAAUCUUGAAGUUUUAUUUAUGUAUGAAUCCAUACGUAUUUCUUAUGAAGUUUGAA